AUCGGUGAGAGGCUCUGGGCUGC
rnacentral:piRNA from 1 species